UUCAUUUGACCCCUCAGCUGUCAAUCACUCGUUAGUUCCUCCCUCAUGGGCGUGGCCGUUCACUGCGGUACCCUGAUUGUUGUGUCUCAUCUGCUCUGAUCCGUUCAUCCUUCUCUCUUUUCCGCUAUUUUAAAACGCACCCGCUGGGCAGAUAACAAAAGUGACAAGUAAACGCUGCCCGUGGCCCACACAAGGAACUUAAGUAUGUAUUCAAUUGGAGGAGUGUCGACGCGUAUCUACAAGGAACGCCUGCAGGCAGAAGGGAUGGGAACUAAUGACAAUGCGGUCAAAUUCCUGAAUCAGGACUACGAGGAGCUGAAGAGAGAAUGUUUGGAGAGUGGCAGGCUGUUUGAAGACCCUUGCUUUCUCGCCGUGCCUCAGUCACUGGGCUUCAAGGAGCUUGCACCACACUCCUCCAAAACACGCGGUGUGCAGUGGAUAAGGCCCACUGAGCUGUCAAACAAUCCUCAGUUUAUAGUGGGCGGAGCCACACGUACAGAUAUUUGCCAGGGGGCCCUUGGUGAGUAUGUACUGUACUGUAUUAGCCUGGAUGUGUGCAUUUGUGCAUGCUUGC